GAAAAAGACUGCUACAUGGCUGAGAGCCCGAGAGCACGUGUGCUGCAGUAUGGCCCAACCUUUAUCAAGCUUGGGCAACUGUCAUCUACAAGAACUGAUCUUUUUCCUCGAGAGUAUGAGGAUGAGCUUGCCAAGUUGCAGGAUAGGGUACCUGCAUUCUCAUCAAUGAAAGCUACGGAGUUCAUUGUUGUUGAGCUUGGAGCUCUGUUGAUAUUCUGUUUAACGAAUUUGAAGAUUAACCCAUUGCUGCUGCAAGUCUUAGUUAGUUUAUAAUGUAGGUUCAUCAGGCUAUCCUUACAUAAUGGAGAGAAAGUAGUCGUAAAAGUUCAAAGACCUGGCUUGAAGAGACUUUUUGACAUUGAUUUACGUUCACCUUGCUAAUGGGAUUCAGUUUCUCAAAAAUCUUACCAUUUCUAGUCUCCAGGAAGGGGGUGAUAUCACUGGAUCCAAGGAGAGUAUUAGUGGUAGUAGUUCUGGUGCCUCUAAUGUGAGACACCAGCAUGUCCAAAAAUUUGGUGCAUCUAAUGUGAGACACCAACAUGUCCUGUUCUGGUAAUAAUUCACAUGCUCCAUGGUGUAUGCAAUUGGACAGGAAGAACAUACACACUGCCGGUUCAAAGUAUUCAAACUGACUAGUUCACCUAGUGAGCUCUUCUACUUUCUCUCUUUUACUUUUAUUCAUACAUUGAGGGCAACGUGUAUGCUGCUUAUUCUUUUAUCAGUUAAUGCAGUAGCUAAAGUCUAUUCAAUAAUGAAGUUCUAUGUUGGUGUAUAUAUUAUUAUUAUCAAUAUCUAUUCAUUAUGGCCUUAGCUGAGCUCGUUUGUAUUUACUGCGAUGCGAUUCUGCCUGCUGCUAUUCUGCCUACAACUAUUUUGCCUACUGCUAUUCUGCUAUACCUGCUGUGAUUUUGAUAUGCUUCUUAUGU